rnacentral:SRP_RNA from 1 species
GCCGGGUGCGGUGGCUCAAGCCUGUAAUCCCAGCACUUAGGGAGGCCGAGACGGGCGGAUCACGAGGUCAGGAGAUCGAGACCAUCCUGGCUAACACGGUGAAACCCCGUCUCUAGUAGAGACGGGGUUUCACCGUGUUAGCCAGGAUGGUCUCGAUCUCCUGACCUCGUGAUCCGCCCGUCUCGG